rnacentral:rRNA from 1 species
AUUGAACGCCGCCGGCAGGCCUAACACAUGCAAGUCGAGCGGCAGCGGAAAGUAGCUUGCUACUUUGCCGGCGAGCGGCGGACGGGUGAGUAAUGUCUGGGAAACUGCCUGAUGGAGGGGGAUGACUACUGGAAACGGUAGCUAAUACCCGCAUGACCUCGAAAGAGCAAAGUGGGGGAUCUUCGGACCCUCACGCCAUCGGAUGUGCCCAGAUGGGAUUAGCUAGUAGGUGAGGUAAUGGCUCACCUAGGCGACGAUCCCUAGCUGGUCUGAGAGGAUGACCAGCCACACUGGAACUGAGACACGGUCCAGACUCCUACGGGAGGCAGCAGUGGGGAAUAUUGCACAAUGGGCGCAAGCCUGAUGCAGCCAUGCCGCGUGUGUGAAGAAGGCCUUAGGGUUGUAAAGCACUUUCAGCGAGGAGGAAGGCAUCACACUUAAUACGUGUGGUGAUUGACGUUACUCGCAGAAGAAGCACCGGCUAACUCCGUGCCAGCAGCCGCGGUAAUACGGAGGGUGCAAGCGUUAAUCGGAAUUACUGGGCGUAAAGCGCACGCAGGCGGUUUGUUAAGUCAGAUGUGAAAUCCCCGCGCUUAACGUGGGAACUGCAUUUGAAACUGGCAAGCUAGAGUCUUGUAGAGGGGGGUAGAAUUCCAGGUGUAGCGGUGAAAUGCGUAGAGAUCUGGAGGAAUACCGGUGGCGAAGGCGGCCCCCUGGACAAAGACUGACGCUCAGGUGCGAAAGCGUGGGGAGCAAACAGG